rnacentral:rRNA from 1 species
CCUACGGGUGGCAGCAGUGGGGAAUAUUGGGCAAUGGAGGCAACUCUGACCCAGCAACGCCGCGUGAAUGAUUAAGGUCUUCGGAUUGUCAAGUUCUUUUCUAAGGGAAGAAGGAAGUGACGGUACCUUAGGAAUAAGCCUCGGCUAACUACGUGCCAGCAGCCGCGGUAAUACGUAGGAGGCAAGCCUUAUCCGGAUGACUGGGCGUAAAGGGUGCGUAGGUGGUUUGACAAGUUUGGAGCGUAAGUCGGGAGCUAAACUUCGGAACUACUACAGAAACGGUUAGACUCGAGUGCAGGAGGGGCAACUGGAAUUUCUAGUGUAGCGGUGGAAUGCGUAGAUAUUAGGAAGAACACCAGUGGCGAAGGCGAGUUGCUGGACUGUAACUGACACUGAGGCACGAAAGCGUGGGGAGCAAACAGGAUUAGAUACCCGAGUAGUC